rnacentral:rRNA from 1 species
CCUACGGGGGGCAGCAGUGGGGGAUAUUGCACAAUGGGGGGAACCCUGAUGCAGCGACGCCGCGUGGGUGAAGAAGCGCCUCGGCGCGUAAAGCCCUGUCAGCAGGGAAGAAAAUGACGGUACCUGAAGAAGAAGCCCCGGCGAACUACGUGCCAGCAGCCGCGGUAAUACGUAGGGGGCAAGCGUUAUCCGGAUGUACUGGGUGGAAAGGGGGCGCAGACGGCGAUGCAAGCCAGGAGGGAAAGCCCGGGGCCCAACCCCGGGACUGCUCGUGGAACUGCGUGGCUGGAGUGCAGGAGGGGCAGGCGGAAUUCCUGGUGUAGCGGUGAAAUGCGUAGAGAUCAGGAGGAACACCGGUGGCGAAGGCGGCCUGCUGGACUGCAACUGACGUUGAGGCCCGAAAGCGUGGGGAGCAAACAGGAUUAGAUACCCUAGUAGUC